AUGCACUUUCUGCGCAGUGCUGAUUCUCACGUGUUCUCAAAGUGGGAGAAGCUGCUGUUCUAUGGAUUUCCAUAUAGCAGGGAGGAUCACCAGUUCCUUGUUGAUAGUAAGCUGGGCUUGCUAACUUGUUUCAUUCAGAGUGCUCUGUGGUCUGGUUUUGGUUUCAACUCAGGCAUUGGAAGGGAACUGUUGAAACGUCUGAAACCUGAAGACCACUUCUGCAAGGCCGGAUUCUGCUGUCCUGUUGGUGCAUGCUUGAGAGCCAACUGCUAUGACCGUGAGGUAAAGUGCGCGAUGUAUACUGAGAUGAUUAAAGGUGUCAUUAGGGUGGCAAAUCUGAUACGAUCAGGAACUUCUGAUGAGAUGAACAUACCAGCGCGCUACACAAGUAAUUUUCACCGGAGACCGGCUGUCACUCCACAGGUUGAUGAUGUUAUUGUUGGUUUUAUUGCCACCAUGGAUUGUGAGUUGACUGUGCGAGCUGGGGAUACUGUCGAGCUCCUCUAUGAACCGGAAGACUGUUUUUCAGAGAAAAUCCUAUGGCGCCGAUGGUGUUAUGUAAGUAAUAAUGUAAUCCUUUAUUCAAUUCUGUGCUAUAUUCAAAUUGGCUAA
rnacentral:rRNA from 1 species